rnacentral:rRNA from 1 species
AUUGAACGCUGGCGGCAGGCCUAACACAUGCAAGUCGAGCGGAGCGGCGGACGGGUGAGUAAUGUCUGGGAAACUGCCCGCUGGAGGGGGAUAACGACCGGAAACGGGCGCUAAUACCGCAUACUAUCAGAUGAGCCUAGCUCGGAUGAGCUAGUUGGUGGGGUAAAGGCCUACCAAGGCGACGAUCCGUAACUGGUCUGAGAGGAUGAUCAGCCACACUGGAAAUGAGACACGGUCCAGACGCCUACGGUAGGCAGCAGUGGGGAAUAGUGGACAAUGGGCGAAAGCCUGAUCCAGCCAUGCCGCGUGUGUGAAGAAGGUCUUCGGAUUGUAAAGCACGUUAAGUUGGGAGGCGUUACCAACAGAAGAAGCACCGGCUAACUUCGUGCCAGCAGCCGCGGUAAUUC